rnacentral:rRNA from 1 species
UACGAAGGGGGCUAGCGUUGCUCGGAUUGACUGGGCGUAAAGAGCUCGUAGGCGGUGUGUCGCGUCGGCCGUGAAAACCUGCAGCUUAACUGUGGGCGUGCGGUCGAUACGGGCAUCACUGGAGUUCGGCAGGGGAGACUGGAAUUCCUGGUGUAGCGGUGAAAUGCGCAGAUAUCAGGAGGAACACCGGUGGCGAAGGCGGGUCUCUGGGCCGAUACUGACGCUGAGGAGCGAAAGCGUGGGGAGCGAGCAGG